CUUUGGAAAACAAAACUGUCUCUUUGCACACCGGGGGCUUUUGGAAAGGGGGUGGCAGGGGAAGCCCUGCAGUGAGGGAUGCUGGGGGAGGCUGGUAGCUCUGGUUAUAGGUGCAAAGCACUGUGUUAUCUUGGACUCUAGUCCUGACUGCAGCCAACCUGCUGAAUAACCAUACACAAGUCUCUUUGCUCCUCUGCAUGUCAUUCUUCCAUCAGUAAGUGUUGGCAUGCCUUUUGAGAUGCUGUCAGAACUGAUAAAUUGCACCAGCUGAAGUUAGAAUACUCUUGAUGGUGGUAUAAGCUGGAGCCCUUAGGAUUCUCCCAGAGCACUGUAGUCCCUGCUGGACUCGGUUACAAGCUGAAAAUUCAGAGCCUGGCAGAAUUCCCCUCAACUAAAUAUGUGCAGAAGUUCCUAGAAUCUCAGGUGCUGUAUCCCAUUUUAUGGCAUGGGUACAUCAUUGUUAUGCAUGGCUUCCUUUUGUCUGGUGGGGUGAGAGUGGGAAAAGCUUCCAUAAAGGGCUGGCUCCUUAGUGAUGUCAGGGUUUCUUGCAUGUCUGUGAAGCAGCAGCUGCUCACAGCCACUGGAGGAGACUGGCCAGCCGAGAGGAAAGGGGCAUAGUGAAAAAAGGAGCGUUUCAGGGCCGUGCUGAAAGAUGUUGCCAGGGAUCCAAUGUGAAAGGGAAGGAAUCUGGAAGCAAGUAGAACCAUGCUGGCUGUCCGUGUCCAUAGGUGGAGGGUGACAUCCUUAUUUUGGAGCCCAUGUGGAGUGGGAAUCGGCAUUGCUGCUGGAAACGUUUGCCAAUUUAUGGUGCCAGCUUCCUCUGGAGUGCUGUGAAAUUGGUCAGCUGGCAGCAAAACAAGAAAAUGCAGGAUGGUGGGAGUCUGUGCGUCUUCCUGAGCGUGGUGUUUUUUUCCCAGAGAUUGGAACACUUCCUUUUGCAACAAGAAGCACUUUUAGAUUGGUUUCAAACUGAGAAAGGAAAGAAGCUCACGUGUUUUUACAGAAUUUCAUGCAGAUUAUUUCAAAGAAGAUGUAGGAGGUGGGAAUCCCAAGUCCUUAUUGUGUCACCCCAGACAAACAUUAAACCUCAGUGAGCUACAGCUGAAUAGUUAUUCUAAUACUGACAGUCCCAGGGGGGAGAAGCUGUGAAGCCUGUUGAAAUUCAGCUUUGUAAAGAAUGAUGGGAAUGGAUGACUAUCCACUCUUUGAUAGGGGAAGCCCAAGGCUUUGUCAGUUCUGAACUGAGCGAUGCUGGUGCAGCAGAAGGGCCUGCAGGAGGCUGGUGUGGGAGCCUGGUGUUUCUGAGUAACAACUGAGAUGGGCAGGUGGUAAUUGCCGAGGUCGAUGUGGGGGUGAACUUUUGCAUGUGCUUCUGUCCCCCAACUCUGCCCCGAGCCCCUGGCACCACUGCCACCAGAGGGCACAUUGUCACCAUGUGCUCUUCUUACUGGCUUAUGUCAGAAAUCAAAAUAGCUACCAGUGAAUUCAUUUAGACUCUCACAGCACCCAGCAGUCAGGAUGUCACCAAAAUCUUCCCUGUCCCCACAUGUUUCUGAAAAGUGAAGCCCCCAAGUCCCUUGAAUGAUGCUGUGUGAGGGUUGUUGCGUAGUAUGAUAGUGACAAGCACUUGAUAUACAGGAGAAGGGCAAGGAGGGAAUAAGCUGUCCAUCUGAAAAUGUUUCUCCUAAGGAUAUUGUCCUAUGGCUUGCAUUCAGGUUCUGACCUGAAUGCAGAGAGGCUAUAGCUGCUUUGCUUACUACUGACAAAUACCCUCUACUCUCUAAAGCAACAGCAGUGUUAAUGUUGGCAAUAUACUUGUGUGAAGUAAUACCCUGUGGACUUGUUGCUUGCUGGUGGAGGAGGCUGAUAUCUUGACAGAAAGCACUGCCCUGCCUAGGCUUGUGGGAUGGGGAUCUGUACAGCUCUGCAGGGUCACUUCUGGAGUUCACAUACGUAUCUCAAAAUGAUGUUACAUGUGUAGAAGAUGGAGUUUCCAGAGUGCAGGAUUCAUCUCAGUGCAUGAGUUAGGUUUUCCAGCCUUGGAGUUCUGAGUAAAGCUUGAAGCCAUUUCAUCAAGCUUACAAAUAGCCACAGGAGGAGAGGGCAUUGGGUGGUGGAGGGCUCUUUGAUCAGCAAAGCACCACCCAGGUGCUGGAAGUGCAGGUCAGUGGAGUUAGAGCAGGAAAUGAGGUGUGCCUCUGUGCAGGUGAAUGCAAUUAGACUUCUCAGUGGUGCAGUGUGCUCCCAGACAUGUCAAGGCUCUGGCUUUGUCUGGAAGAUAAUGCUGUUGUUCAAAUGUCAGCUGCAGAGCUAGACAUAGAAAUGCGUGGGGUCUUUUUACAGGCAGUGAGUGAGGUGCUGUUACCCGUUCAAGAGCUGUGCUGUAUGGCAGUGUCAUUGCUGGAGCUGGGCCCCAAAGAGUCCCUGCCUUUUGCUGUCACACUCAGCUUCACCUUGCCCUUACCAUAGGGGCUGCACAGCUGAUGUGUCUGGGGCCUUUCUGGGGAUUGCACUCCAUAAAGAUGAAUCUUCCAUAUCAAGGAUCUCCCAGGAGCUUUCUUUUGACCUAAAUGGAAUGUCAGAGCAUCUUUACUGGUUAAGGUGGGCCUGAGGUGGUUGAUAUCCACUGGGCUUUUUAUUGUAAUGCUAUUUAGCUGAUGUAAAAACUGUUCUUUCCCAUCCCACCAGUUCAUAGCUGUGUUUGAGUCAGUGCUGUAUGUAAUCCAGCAAGCAUGUAAACCCACACUUCCAGGCUGUCCAGAGCCUCUGCUGCCAGGAACUAUUGCAGAUUCCAGGUCAGCUUUUCCUGCCUCAUCAGUGACUCAGUGGAUGUUCUCCAUUUUGUUCCUUCUGUUUUCUUCAAACUUUAGAGUCCAGAGGUGAUGAGGAGAUGGGCUGAGCUGGUUACUGAGGAUCAACAGAUGUAGAGUUUGCUGAAAGAACAGGCAGAGGAACAGUGUGAGAUGUGGUGAUGUUCUGCUCUCCAGAUCCUUACAGAUGAUACAGCUGGUCCUGUUCUGGAGAGCAUAAGAUCUCUGCCCAGUCCUGUCUACAAGCUGUGGUUCUGUGUCACCAUCCUUGCUCUGGCAAACUGUCUGCAGCCACCUUGGGCAUGCCAAAUGCUGGAUGCAGCAAGCACUGAUGCAGUCCCUUGCUAUGGAGUAUGCUGUAAAUUAGUAUUUCCACAGCAGUGGCAGAGAGAGCCAAGGGCAUGUGCAGCAGAAUGUGCAUCUCAGGCCUGGAGCCUGCUCCUCACCUCAGGCAUCUGUCUGACCUGUAGAUGUCUUCAUAUUGCUGGAGGAGGUGCUGCAACAACAAGGUAGGCUUGGUCACUGGUAAGGCAGAUGUAAGCAGUAAAGUUGGGCCAGGAUGAUGUCUCUUGCCUGCUUUAUGCGCACUUCCCUCUGUGGCUAGCAGCCUGCCAGUGGAAGCCAUGUCUGCUCUGAGCCUGAGCUACAUUGCCCAUGCCUUUGGUAUCUUGCAAAGAGCAAGGUGUUGCUGCUGGCCCCAGGGGUUAUAGCCUUACCUCAAAGCAUGAGCACUGGCAACCUGCACAGCUCAGCAGAGGCCACUUACCACAUUUGCGUUCCUUACUGCUGUCUUUGACAAAUAUCUGUUGUUUCAGGAAACCACACAUUGGGUGUUGCCCUUCCAGGGUAGGGGUGGGGGAGGAAUCCUGCUCCCCCAGGCACAGAUCCAGCAGGGUACUGGGAUCCUGCUGCUCUCUGGAUCAGGCUGGGGCUGUCUCCUCCAGCUGAGCAAGGUGCAUCCAUUUGUGUUAUCCCCAGGCAGGGAGCAUGUGGGGCCAGCAGAAGUAAUUCCUGCAGUCAGUCAUGAGCUGUGCUGUGGGUGGGUAGAAUGUACAUUUGGAAACUUCUGAGCUGCAGUUGUGCGAAUGUGCUUAUCCCAGCUGGGCUUGGGAUCCUUCUUUUGAACUCUUCUCAUUUCUGCAGGAAAGGGAAGCUGUUUAAGAGGGCUGUGAAGAGCCCCCAUUCCUCAAAUGGGGCUCAUGCAUGGUGAAACCAUCCUGGGUUGGGCUGAGAAGCUUUAUUAGCUUUUGGAGACGCUUGCCAUAGUAGUGGGGGAAUUAGUGCAGGCUCUUCUGUGUGCUGCUGGGCCACACUGACUAUAAUACUGGGUUUAGAAGUCUGGUUCUGGCUAGGCUGUUGGUCAUUGCAUAUAGCAAGGUACUUCCCUUUCUCUACUUCUUUGAAAUGGAAGAAGAUAGUUUAAGAACCAUCAGUGAUUUGACUGGAAGAGUUGUAACACUAAACAGUUGUCUAGCUUUGCAAGAAUGGGGUUGAAUGGGGUUACCAUAACCUUUAAAUCUGUUGUUUUAAGAAUGUUGGCAUUCCUUAGCAAAGCACUUCAAGGAAAUGCCCCUAUCUGUAAAUCGGAGCUUGGAGACUGAUGAAAGUUGCUUUUUUCCCCAGUGGGAUCCUGGAAAUAGAGAAGCAGUAGCAAUGGAAAUGUAGGACUAUUUCACACCAGCUGUUCUGUGAAAUGUUUUGGGUGCUGAAAAUCCUCACCUCCUCCCCCCUAUUCUUACCUCCUUGAGACAGAAAAAGUCUCCAUAUCUUGUCAUGGAAUAAGCCUAAGUUGGGAAAACUUCCUUUUUGUUUCUAACUGACCCUUUCUACAGGACUCUGAUCCAAAGGCUGUUGGUCUACAGAAGUCCUGAAUCAAUCAGACCCAAUGGGAACUCAGAACUGAAUCCCACCAGAGAUCCGUGGCACUCCAGAGUGGCGGUGUAGCAUCACUCCUCGGGCCUUGUUAGCCAGGCUUAGCAGUUUGCUUCUGGAGCCCCCAGAGAAGCAGCAGGGACAAGGGGUGAGGCAGAGAUAGAGGGUAGCAGCAGCUGUUCAGGAUGUGUUGCUGAUUCUGUGACAUCUCCCACCCUUUUUGGAAAUUGAGAGUUUGGAGCAAGACAGAAAGAAAGAAGAAACAGCUACUGAUAAAGCGUUGCAGAGAUGGCAGCCUCGUUCUCAACAGCCUGCAGCCCACAGCAUGUCUCUGAGGACCCGUGCCAGCUGGGAGGCAACGAUAGGCUUCAUUGCUUGCUCUGGCUGUUCGUCUCCCUGUGCUGGGCCAGGAAGCUGACUAUCUACGGGCAGCAGUGACCAAAAUUUGGCUUUCCUGGAAUUUUCUCUUUCUCCUCUGCACACCCACACAAUAGGCUUCUGGGGACGCCUUCAGCCUGUAAUUUGCCUUCCUAGCCUGAUAAUGUGGCUUGCAGAGGCAUUGGUUUUGCCAAGUCAUCAUCUGGAAGGAACACUUUCUUAUGCAACUGGCUUCAUUCUCCCCCCAUGCUCCAUGGGCCACAGUUGCCACCAAGCCCAGUUCCGGCCAGAAGGGCUGCCCUGCAGGCACUGGGGAAUAUGGGAGCAAGACCAUGAAGUCUGGGAAAGGGCCUGGAACUUUCAAUUUCAAAAGGCACAGACCAGAAACCAGAAGGACCAAGAACCCAGUGCUGUGGUUUCCCUUUGCCUGACUAAAGAAAAUAGCUGCUGUCUAUUUUUACUGAAAAUGUGGGAUGUGGGGCCCUUCUCUUCCCCUGCACAAAUGGGGGCUGCCACUCACAAUGAGAGAAUGGGGUAGUGGAGCAGUGGGUCAUCCCAGGUGAAAACCAGCAGACUGCUCCACACAAACCUCUCCCAUAGAUUCUUCAAAUAUUUCUUGCCCGCACCACGAGAAGAUUUAUUUGUAAGGUGAAAGAAAAUGAACUGGGGGAGGGAUUUGGGAAUCUCUUCUCACCUACAAAAGUCCCCCUUCUUCAUUUCAAGGAAGGAAUGGAAUUGAUCGGAUUCAUUCUGCCAUCACCCUUUCUUUUCUCCAUCUCUGCAUCACUAUGCUGUGUGGUAUUCAUCACAACAAAUCAAUACAAUGGCAUCAGUCAGCAAAUGAAAGCCAUCUGUGUGAGUGCAGAGAUGGGAUUCCCACGUGUGAGAUGUAUUGGGAAUGUCACGUACGUGAUGUUUGUG
rnacentral:lncRNA from 1 species